UACGAAGGGGGCUAGCGUUGCUCGGAAUCACUGGGCGUAAAGGGUGCGUAGGCGGGUCUUUAAGUCAGGGGUGAAAUCCUGGAGCUCAACUCCAGAACUGCCUUUGAUACUGAAGAUCUUGAGUUCGGGAGAGGUGAGUGGAACUGCGAGUGUAGAGGUGAAAUUCGUAGAUAUUCGCAAGAACACCAGUGGCGAAGGCGGCUAUCUGGACCGACAUUGACGCUGAGGCGCGAAAGCUAGGGAGCGAACAGG
rnacentral:rRNA from 1 species